UACGAAGGGGGCUAGCGUUGCUCGGAAUCACUGGGCGUAAAGCGCACGUAGGCGGCUUACUAAGUCAGAGGUGAAAUCCUGGAGCUCAACUCCAGAACUGCCUUUGAUACUGGUGAGCUUGAGUCCGGAAGAGGUGAGUGGAACUGCGAGUGUAGAGGUGAAAUUCGUAGAUAUUCGCAAGAACACCAGUGGCGAAGGCGGCUCACUGGUCCGGUACUGACGCUGAGGUGCGAAAGCGUGGGGAGCAACAGG
rnacentral:rRNA from 1 species